GAUGAAGAACGUAGCGAAAUGCGAUAAGUAGUGUGAAUUGCAGAAUUCAGUGAAUCAUCGAAUCUUUGAACGCACAUUGCGCCCCCUGGUAUUCCAUGGGGCAUGCCUGUUCGAGCGUCAUUUGUACCUUCAAGCUUUGCUUGGUGUUGGGUGUUUGUCUCGCCUUUGCGUGUAGACUCGCCUUAAAAUAAUUGGCAGCCGGCGUAUUGAUUUCGGAGCGCAGUACAUCUCGCGCUUUGCACUCAUAACGACAGCGUCCAAAAGUACAUUUUACACUCUUGACCUCGGAUCAGGUAGGGAUACCCGCUGAACUUAAGCAUAUCAAUAAGCGGAGGA
rnacentral:misc_RNA from 1 species